GGCAAGAUGGCCGAGCGGUUAAGGCGCUAGCUUCAGGUGCUAGUGUGGAGACACGCGUGGGUUCGAGUCCCACUCUUGUCA
rnacentral:tRNA from 1 species